rnacentral:rRNA from 1 species
CCUACGGGAGGCAGCAGUGGGGAAUAUUGGGCAAUGGGCGAAAGCCUGACCCAGCAACGCCGCGUGAGGGAAGAAGGUCUUCGGGUUGUAAACCUCUGUCCUUGGUGAAAAGAAAGGAUGGUAGCCAAGGAGGAAGCCCCGGCUAACUACGUGCCAGCAGCCGCGGUAAU